GAUGAACGCUGGCGGCGUGCCUAAUACAUGCAAGUCGAGCGAACAGACGAGGAGCUUGCUCCUCUGACGUUAGCGGCGGACGGGUGAGUAACACGUGGAUAACCUACCUAUAAGACUGGGAUAACUUCGGGAAACCGGAGCUAAUACCGGAUAACAUGUUGAACCGCAUGGUUCAACAGUGAAAGACGGUCUUGCUGUCACUUAUAGAUGGAUCCGCGCCGCAUUAGCUAGUUGGUAAGGUAACGGCUUACCAAGGCAACGAUGCGUAGCCGACCUGAGAGGGUGAUCGGCCACACUGGAACUGAGACACGGUCCAGACUCCUACGGGAGGCAGCAGUAGGGAAUCUUCCGCAAAGGGCGAAAGCCUGACGGAGCAACGCCGCUUGAGUGAAGAAGGUCUUCGGAUCGUAAAACUCUGUUAUUAGGGAAGAACAAAUGUGUAAGUAACUAUGCACGUCUUGACGGUACCUAAUCAGAAAGCCACGGCUAACUACGUG
rnacentral:rRNA from 1 species